UCACCAUGGCAACCCUUCCUCAGUGCAAACAAAGCCACCCCAAACAAAAGUUCUGCACGGCCCCACCCACUGCAGCAUCACUGCCCUGUGCUUCUGUUGCUGCUCAAUCUUGCCAAAUCAACCAAGGCUGCUCGAUAACCCAAAGCCUCCCUCCCCAUCCCCACAGGCCCCAGCUCGUGAUGCCCUGUGCCACCAGCCACACAGGUCCACCACAGAGAUGAGUGCCUGAAUGAACCUCGACCUGACUGCUUUGGUACACAGCAGAGGGCCUUGAUACCAAGCGGGGCUGCGUUAUUCAUAUGGUAGUAGCACCAAGGAGGAGAAAAAGAAGAUGACAACAAAUCGCUUUCCGUGAAGCCUAUGAGCGCUGGUAACAUUGGGAGGAGCGGGCUGUCACCACAUCUCUGCAGGACAGAGAAGGGCCACAAAGAAUUGUUCCAGCCAGCAGCUGUGCUUACUGCUUUAUCAGACCCGGACACACGCAAGCUCACUGCUAUCAGCUUAAAAACACACCGAGCUGGCGGGCUGCUCCCUGGAAGAUGAGAAGACCAGCGUAACAAGAGCGGCAAUGCUCCCUCCAAACCGGUGCUACGGGCCCAGGGCCACCUGGGGAUCCACACAAAUGCAGUCUGGACCAUCUGCUGCUGCACCUUUGCUACUGAUUAAUAGAGGCAGAGAGAGACAACGAAGAACCCUCAGCUCCACCAGUUCCUGUUGCACUUCCCUCUCCCACACGUGCAUUUGGUUCACUCCGAAUGAGAAGUAGUAAGCAGCCUUUAGAGUGCCACAAAGAAGAAUGUAAAGCAGUAAACAACUUAUCAACUAUCUCUCCUUCAUCCUCUUACCUAUUGCUACUAAAACGCCACGGCAGGAGUUCCUCCUGCAAACGCUUUCUAAGAACACAAUGGAACCACAGUCAGAGGAUCAGUUACUCUUCCCUUCAAUAGAUCACCCAAUACCUACACCAAGAAUCACUCCGUAGCAGAUCAGCUGCCUUUAGCAAAGGCAUACACUAUCAAGAGAAGAAACAAAGCAAAUGAUGGUAGCAUCCCUGCAUAAUUCAGGCGGGAAGGAACUUCAGCAGCUCCAACCCACAUCUCCCUGCAGGGUCAACCAGGGCCUCACACCAGGCUGCCCAGGCCUUCACCCACUUUGAUCCCAAGAGCCUCUGACAAUGGAGAUAACGCAGCCCCCACAGGCAAGCUGUUUCAAUGCUCCACUGUCCACAUACAGAAGCAGCCCCCCCGCCAGGUCUGAGCAGAAUCCCUUCUAGUUUCGGAGGCCUCUUGCCUCCUCCAGUCCCCCCACCUCUGUGAAAAGCCAUCCCAUAGGUGGGGGAAGGCUAGGGCUGAGCCCUGCUCACGCUCCUCCACAGAAAGCAAGCUCAGGGCAGACAGAAUGCACCUCAAUGAGAGGGUAAGAACGCAAGAAAUGAUUCUAAAUACAACCUGGAAAUAAUUAAGUCUGGGUAUGUGCACAGCUGAAAAAUGGAAAGUGAGAAAGGCGUGACAAGGAGCAGACAGUUUCCUCCUGAAAAAUAGGGAAAGUCAUUUUUUCUCUUCUCAGUUUUGUUUUUUUCCUCUCCUCCAACUUCAUUAAAACAAAUUAAUGCAGGAAUUAUGCCAACCUGAAGUGUAUUUUGGUGCUUACAGACGUUAGCAAGUACAGGGACACUAGUAAAUAAAUGGAUGGGGGGGGGGGGGGAGGUGGUUCUGGAAAGGCUUUCCCUGUGCCCAGUUUGAUGCUUACCCUACCUGCAAUCUGACAAUCCACAAGUCACAGAAGCACCCUAGAUGAUUUUCAAAUAGAUGGGCACAUAUUAUUAUUUUAUAUAUAACUGGAUAAGACAACAACGUUUUGCUGCUCAGUGAUAGCAACAGCGCUACGCAUCAGGCCGUUUUUUUCCCACGGUAUUCUUGAUGAAAUCCAAAAAACAGAAUAGAAAUAAACACACAAGGCUGAAGUCCUUGCUCUGUUCCCCAGGAGGAGCUCCAGAACAGCCACCUUCAGCAAUGGAGUGGGCAUGGGGCAGAAUGACACAGCUGCUCCAUGUCUUUCCUCACCUUCUAGGCAGAACAACAAUGUUUAAUCUCCAAGAAACAGCAGACUGUCAGAUGUUCCCAUCUGUCCAUCUCUGUGACUAUUACGACAGCUGUUUCAGGUUAAGAGAAAACCAAAAGCUAUUUUUUUCAAGCUACGGAAGACAAACAUUACAUUUUUCUCCAGCAGACAAUUACUCAAAAUUUAAUCAGGUUUAUUCGUGGAAAGACCCGAAGUAAUAUUCAGUUUUAUUCCUGCAAGGUCUUCUACCAACAACUGCAGUCUGACCCCUUUGUUCACAAUUCAGUUUGGCCCAUCCAAAAACAAUUCCAGUUGCACGUUUGUCCAAGUGGCCAAUGGCAUGAGUAACCUGAAGGAGGCAGCACAAAGCACCCCUGAAAACACAGCGCUGUGGACUUACUGAGGUGCUAAAUGCAAGAGGACCUAGGUAACAGCUGCAUUGUAUUACCCCACUGUAGGUUUUGUCACAGAAUUCCCUAAUUACUGGCUGACACCAUUCAAAACACAGAAGAUUUUCUCCAGCACGCUUUACGAUCAACAAGCUUUGCAGGCGUGUAAGCACAGCUUGUUAAACCUCAUCUCCGCACCAAUGGUCUCAGAUCUUAAGCUCCAGAUUUGCAACAUAUGCCUGGAAAAAAGAAGGAAGAAAAACACAACACCCACAACCACAGAACUUUUCCUAUUGCACCUACCUACCUCGCGCUUCCACAACCACCCAUUUUCUCUCCUCUUUUGCUUCCUGCAAGCUCACGGUAUCAUAGAAUCAUGAAAUGGCUUGGGUUGGAAGGGACCUCAAGGAUCAUCAAGUUCCACCCCCCUGCCACGGGCAGGGCCGCCAAC